GACGAACGCUGGCGGCGUGCUUAACACAUGCAAGUCGAACGAGGAUGCCCAGCUCGCUGGGUGGAUUAGUGGAGAACGGGUGAGUAACACGUGAGUAACCUGCGCAUGACUCUGGGCUAAGCGUUGGAAACGACGACUAAUCCUGGAUAUGACUGCCGGACGCAUGGUCUGGUGGGGGAAAGAUUUUUUGGUUGGGGAUGGACUCGCGGCCUAUCAGCUUGUUGGUGAGGUAAUGGCUCACGAAUGCGAGGACGGGUAGUCGGCCUGAGAGGGUGACCGGCCACACUGGGACUGAGGCACGGCCCAGACUCCUACGUGAGGCAGCGGUGGGGAAUAUUGCACAAUGGGCGGAAUGCUGAUGCAACAACGCCGGGUGGGGGAUGACGGCCUUCGGGUUGUAAACCUCUUUUAGUAGGGAAGAAGCGAAAGUGACGGUACCUGCAGAAAAAGCACCGGCUAACUACGUGCCAGCCGCCGCCGUAA
rnacentral:rRNA from 1 species